ensembl:lncRNA
GAGCAUAUGAAACAAAAAUAUCCUCUUUGAGGCUUAUAAAGAAAGAUCAGUAAGUAGGCAGGUAGGAUAGAAGGAUGGAUGGAUGGACAGACUAUGGGAAGGACAGAUAAGUACAUACACACUUACCAAUAGAAGUUUACAGACUAUAUUAAUCAAAACCUGUAAGACUUUACUUAUUUUUCUGUAAGAGAGCUCUGACCGGUGUCUUGCGAGUGGCCCAAGAAGCAAGUUCUGUAUAGUCCUUCGGAACGGCGGUGAGAACUUAAAGUAAACAAAGGAGAAAGAAGGAAACACGGCAUCCUCAUUUAAGCUGCCUCCAAGUAAUCCUGCUGGGACUUCAGAAGGAGUUGAUGCUGGAACGAUGGUCCUAUGCCUGCCUACCUCAUGCUCUCAGGCCAGGCCCUGUGUCCCCACUGGUGCAACAGUCCCCGCUGUGUCCCAGGGGGUGAUGAAACUUCACACCUCAGGCUUACUCUGGUCUGACUCCAAAGCACAAAAAAAGUCGUGGGUACAUUUUAUCUUGGAGGAAAGGGACGGGGAGGAGAGUGCUGACUUGACUCCCAGGGCAGUUUCAGGGGGAAAAGCGCUGCCUUUGGAGCAUGUUUUCUUGGGACACCUUACCUCAGGGGUACACAGAGACUUCUAGGAAGUUGAGCCAAGCCUGCAGAAAGGCACCUCUCCAUUCUGCUUGAUGGUUUGUAUACAGAGACUGCCCAUUGCCAGGUGUGUUCCCAGACAACACAGGUAACUGUUGCCAAAGUCACUAAGCCUCUGUCCCUCCAGCAACAAGGAGGCGCUGCCAGCCUUCUUGGGGCCAGAGAUAUGCAGCGAGUGGGGCUAUAGUCCAUGGGGUCAUUGAAAGUCAGAUGUGGCUGAAGUGACUGAGCACUUCGUGUAAGAUUAGCAUUUCCAGAAAUACCUGUCUGGCUGCAAAAUGGAGAAUGAGUAGCAUGACUGAAGAGAGGAAGGAAGGCCACUGCAGCGUCCAGGUAAGAAAUGAUGGCGGCUUGGACCAGGAGCAGGCAGUGGAGAUGGAGAGAGGUGCAGAGCCCUGGGACAUGUUUUCAAGGAACAGUAGAUGAGACAGAGGGGUUGAUUUAAUGUAGAGGAUAAGAGGGAAAGAGGUAUCAAGGGUCAUUCCCUGGGUUCCAGCUUUAACCAGGUGGGCAGUGAUACGAUUAUCAAGGUGGGAGAAUACUGGAGAAAGAGCUGGGAUGUUUAUGACUGCUGUCCAUUUACUGACAGUUACAUAUCUGUUGGCUUAGUGGUAAAGAAUCCGCCUGCCAGUGCAAGAGAUACAGGAGAUGUGGGUUCAAUCCCUGGGUCUGGAAGAUCCCCUGGAGGAGGAAAUGGCAACCCACUCCAGUAUUCUAGAAGAAUUCCAUGGACAGAAGAGCCUGGCGGGCCACAGUCCAUGGGGUCGCGAAGAGUUGGGCACAACUGAGCACACACACAUAUCUGUUGAAGGUCAAUUGAAUAAAUGAGUGUCUUAGGUUGUGGGUAUAUUUAGUUUGUCAGUGGCGUGUUGAACACAGAUGGAAAGUAGGCAGUUUAGAACUUGAGAGAGGGUGACUCUCCAGUGAAGCAUGUUUGGUGUGAUGGGAGUCCAUUUGAUUCCAGUGAGCAUAGAACAGGAGAGAAGAGGUGCUGGACCAGGCCUUCAGGACACCAACAUUUAAUGAGUGUGUGUGUGUAGGAAGGUGACCCAGUAAGGGAGACUGGGAAAGAGUGACUGGACACAUGGGGAAAAAAGUGCAAGAGAAUGUUUCCAGAAAGAAAACAUGGUCGAUUGGUUGGAUGAUGCUGAAAAGCCCAGUGAGAUGUGUGCUGGGCUCGACAAGGUGGAGGACACUGUGGUAAGAAAAGUUUUGUUGGG